rnacentral:rRNA from 1 species
UACGUAGGUGGCAAGCGUUAUCCGGAUUUACUGGGUGUAAAGGGCGCGUAGGCGGGAUGACAAGUCAGAUGUGAAAACUAUGGGCUUAACCCAUAGCCUGCAUUUGAAACUGCCGUUCUUGAGUGAUGGAGAGGCAAGUGGAAUUCCUAGUGUAGCGGUGAAAUGCGUAGAUGUAAGGAAGAACACCAGUGGCGAAGGCGGUCUACUGGACAGUAACUGACGCUGAGGCGCGAAAGCGUGGGGAGCAAAC